rnacentral:rRNA from 1 species
CAGCAGCCACGGUAAUACGUAGGUGGCAAGCGUUGUCCGGAAUUAUUGGGCGUAAAGGGCUCGCAGGCGGUUUCUUAAGUCUGAUGUGAAAGCCCCCGGCUCAACCGGGGAGGGUCAUUGGAUACUGGGAAACUUGAGUGCAGAAGAGGAGAGUGGAAUUCCACGUGUAGCGGUGAAAUGCGUAGAGAUGUGGAGGAACACCAGUGGCGAAGGCGACUCUCUGGUCUGUAACUGACGCUGAGGAGCGAAAGCGUGGGGAGCGAACAGGAUUAGAGACCCCGGUAGUCCCUGUCUCUUAUAC